CGAAUGGCUCAUUAUAUAAGUUAUCGUUUAUUUGAUAGUACCUAACUACUUGGAUAACCGUGGUAAUUCUAGAGCUAAUACAUGCUAAAAAUCCCGACUUCGGAAGGGAUGUAUUUAUUAGAUUAAAAACCAAUGCCCUCUGGGCUCCUUGGUGAUUCAUGAUAACUCUUCGAAUCGCACGGCCUUGCGCCGGCGAUGGUUCAUUCAAAUUUCUUCCCUAUCAACUUUCGAUGUUUGGGUCUUGGCCAAACAUGGUCGCAACGGGUAACGGAGGGUUAGGGCUCGACCCCGGAGAAGGAGCCUGAGAAACGGCUACUACAUCCAAGGAAGGCAGCAGGCGCGCAAAUUACCCAAUCCCGAUUCGGGGAGGUAGUGACAAUAAAUACUGAUACAGGGCUCUUUUGGGUCUUGUAAUUGGAAUGAGUACAAUUUAAAUCCCUUAACGAGGAACAAUUGGAGGGCAAGUCUGGUGCCAGCAGCCGCGGUAAUUCCAGCUCCAAUAGCGUAUAUUAAAGUUGUUGUGGUUAAAAAGCUCGUAGUUGAACCUUGGGCCUGGCUGGCCGGUCCGCCUCACCGCGUGUACUGGUCCGGCCGGGCCUUUCCCUCUGUGGAACCCCAUGCCCUUCACUGGGUGUGGCGGGGAAACAGGACUUUUACUUUGAAAAAUUAGAGUGCUCCAGCAGGCCUAUGCUCGAAUACAUUAGCAUGGAAUAAUGAAAUAGACGCGUGGUUCUAUUUUGUUGGUUUCUAGGACCGCCGUAAUGAUUAAUAAGGACAGUCGGGGGCAUCAGUAUUCAAUUGUCAGAGUGAAAUUCUUGGAUUUAUUGAAGACUAACUACUGCGAAAGCAUUUGCCAAGGAUGUUUUCAUUAAUCAGGAACGAAAGUUAGGGGAUCGAAGACGAUCAGAUACCGUCGUAGUCUUAACCAUAAACUAUGCCGACUAGGGAUCGGACGAUGUUAUUUUUUGACGCGUUCGGCACCUUACGAGAAAUCAAAGUGCUUGGGCUCCAGGGGGAG
rnacentral:rRNA from 1 species